AGAGUUUGAUCCUGGCUCAGGAUGAACGUUGGCGGCGUGCCUAACACAUGCAAGUCGAACGGGAAGCACCCUUCGGGGUGUGGAGAGUGGCGCACGGGUGAGUAACACGUAGCUCAUCUACCCCAGAGGACGGGAUAACCCUCGGAAACGAGGGCUAAUACCGUAUAAGCUCACGGGCAGUAACAAACCGUGAGAAAAGCUGAGGCGCUCUGGGAUGAGGCUGCGGUCCAUCAGCUAGUUGGUGAGGUAACGGCUCACCAAGGCGACGACGGAUAGGGGACCUGAGAGGGUGACCCCCCACACUGGGACUGAGACACGGCCCAGACUCCUACGGGAGGCAGCAGUGAGGAAUAUUGCACAAUGGGCGCAAGCCUGAUGCAGCGACGCCGCGUGGGUGAUGAAGGUCUUCGGAUCGUAAAGCCCUUUUCUGUGUGACGAGCAAGGACGGUAGCACAGGAAUAAGUGUCGGCUAACUACGUGCCAGCAGCCGCGGUAAAACGUAGGACGCAAACGUUAUCCGGAGUUACUGGGCGUAAAGCGCGCGCAGGCGGAGCGUUAAGUUGUUUAUGAAAGCUCCUGGCUAAACUGGGAGAGGUUAGACAAAACUGGCGCUCUAGAGUGAAGCAGAGGAAGGCAGAAUUCCGCGUGUAGUGGUGAAAUGCGUA
rnacentral:rRNA from 1 species